UGAGGGAAUAUUUGGGGUCAAUGGGCGAGAGCCUGAACCAGCCAAGUCGCGUGAAGGAUGAAGGUUCUAUGGAUUGUAAACUUCUUUUAUUCGAGGGUAAAGUGAGGUAUGUAUACCUUAUUGCAAGUAUCGAAUGAAUAAGCAUCGGCUAAUCCGUGCCAGCAGCCGCGGUAAUACGGAGGUCCGGGCGUUAUCCGGAUUUAUUGGGUUUAAAGGGAGCGUAGGCCGGAGAUUAAGCGUGUUGUGAAAUGUAGACGCUCAACGUCUGCACUGCAGCGCGAACUGGUUUCCUUGAGUGCGCACAAAGUGGGCGGAAUUCGUGGUGUAGCGGUGAAAUGCUUAGAUAUCACGAAGAACUCCGAUUGCGAAGGCAGCUCACUGGAGCGCAACUGACGCUGAAGCUCGAAAGUGCGGGGUAUC
rnacentral:rRNA from 1 species